GAGGAACAGGAAAUGUGCAUAGGAAGCAGGAUACCCUCCAGUUAGAAGGUUUGGGCGUGUACUGGGAAGUGGUGAGGGCACAGCUGCUCCUUUGCUAACGCUAGAGGGCGCAUUGUGGGUGGAAGAUAAGAACACCAGACUGAGGAAGUCGUACUGCUCACUCACUGCGCACUCACGUUAAAAUGGAAUGAAAAAGUCAAAAGCUUGUGGACCACUGGGUGCUGAAGAUAAGUUGCUGUUUCUGCCUGGAGCAGGAGUAGAAACAAAUAUCUUGCUGAAACCAAAGGAAGAGAAGGGCCCUUCAACAAUGAAAGUCUGACAAGUUUUCAGUGCUACAAAAACUUUCCAAAGUAAGUUCUGGGAAAAUACCC
rnacentral:lncRNA from 1 species